rnacentral:rRNA from 1 species
AUUGAACGCUGGCGGCAUGCUUUACACAUGCAAGUCGAACGGCAGCGCGGGGCAACCUGGCGGCGAGUGGCGAACGGGUGAGUAAUAUAUCGGAACGUACCCAGGAGUGGGGGAUAACGUAGCGAAAGUUACGCUAAUACCGCAUACGAUCUACGGAUGAAAGCAGGGGAUCUUCGGACCUUGUGCUCGUGGAGCGGCCGAUAUCUGAUUAGCUAGUUGGUGAGGUAAAGGCUCACCAAGGCGACGAUCAGUAGCUGGUCUGAGAGGACGACCAGCCACACUGGGACUGAGACACGGCCCAGACUCCUACGGGAGGCAGCAGUGGGGAAUUUUGGACAAUGGGCGCAAGCCUGAUCCAGCAAUGCCGCGUGAGUGAAGAAGGCCUUCGGGUUGUAAAGCUCUUUUGUCAGGGAAGAAACGGCUGUGGCUAAUACCCACGGCUAAUGACGGUACCUGAAGAAUAAGCACCGGCUAACUACGUGCCAGCAGCCGCGGUAACAC